CCUACGGGAGGCAGCAGUGAGGAAUAUUGGUCAAUGGCCGGAAGGCUGAACCAGCCAAGCCGCGUGAAGGAUGAAGGUGCCAAGCAUUGUAAACUUCUUUUGUCAAGGGACAAACUCAGGCUCGAGAGCCUGAUCGCAGGUACUUGAAGAAUAAGGAUCGGCUAAUUCCGUGCCAGCAGCCGCGGUAAUACGGAGGAUGCGAGCGUUAUCCGGAUUUAUUGGGUUUAAAGGGUGCGUAGGCGGACUGUUAAGUCAGUGGUAAAAGCCCGGGGCUCAACCCGGGCGCGCCGUUGAAACUGGCUGGCUUGAGAGUGCGAGAGGUAUGCGGAAUGCGCGGUGUAGCGGUGAAAGGCUUAGAUAUUGCGAAGAACUCCGAUUGCGAAGGCAGCAUACCGUCGG
rnacentral:rRNA from 1 species